rnacentral:rRNA from 1 species
UGGGGAAUAUUGGACAAUGGGCGAAAGCCUGAUCCAGCCAUGCCGCGUGUGUGAAGAAGGCCUUAUGGUUGUAAAGCACUUUAAGCGAGGAGGAGGGUACUGGUAUUAAUACUACCAGGUACUGGACGUUACUCGCAGAAUAAGCACCGGCUAACUCUGUGCCAGCAGCCGCGGUAAUACAGAGGGUGCGAGCGUUAAUCGGAUUUACUGGGCGUAAAGCGUGCGUAGGCGGCUAAUUGAGUCGGAUGUGAAAGCCCCGGGCUCAACCUGGGAACUGCAUCCAAAACUGGCGAGCUAGAGUAGGGCAGAGGGUGGUGGAAUUUCCUGUGUAGCGGUGAAAUGCGUAGAUAUAGGAAGGAACACCAGUGGCGAAGGCGACCACCUGGGCUCAUACUGACACUGAGGUGCGAAAGCGUGGGGAGCAAACAGG